rnacentral:other from 1 species
AAUUUCCUGCUUAACGCGUGAUUGGUGCUAAUAUAACCCUACACUUUUCUUAUAGGGAGCUUAAUCUUUGGCAGUGGUUUGCAGACCUCCCGUGUACACCUUGAUGUAUGCGGAAGCUGGGAGCAAUAAAGCUGACAAGAAGCGCCCACCUGGCUAUUUAGUAGGCAGGUUAUAACAAAGCAUCUAACGGUUAAGCGGGUUAUUU